rnacentral:lncRNA from 1 species
UUUUAGGGUUUUAGGAAUAAAAAAAAAAUUCUAACAAGUUCAAGGGAUAAAAACAAGGGACAAACAUCGGGAUAAUGGAUAUGGUCUUUAAGAUUAUAUAAUUAAACUUUUAAUAUGUUUCUUAAAAUAAUUAUAUAUAAUAUCAUUAUGGGUUUACUUUAUUAAAUCAAAAUAGUUAGAUUUUUUUUUCAAUCAAUCAAAAGGAUAUGUCAAAAAAAUAUAUAAUACUUAUUUCCAUAAAUAAAUAAUUUUUUUUUAUAAUCAAUAAUGG